AUGGCUUUAGCGCUCAAGGCGUCCCUCUCGCCGUCUUCCUCGCCUCUGUCGAGCCCCCAGAGAAGCCGCGCCAGGGCGGCAGUGGCAGUGGCCACACCGGGGAGGCCUGUCGUCGCCAGGGCACUGGCCGCGGCCUCGGUCGACCCGGCGGUGGUCAUGCCGACGGCGAGGAGGCUUGCGGUCAGGGCCCGCGCAGCGGCGACCUUGCUUGCCCCGGCACCGGCCGGUAAGAGCGGCAUGUCGGUAGCGAAGGCCAUGUCCCAGGCCAGACACAAGGGCAAGACGGCGUUCAUCCCGUACAUCACCGCUGGCGAUCCCGACCUGGCCACGACGGCGGAGGCGCUCAGGCUCCUCGACACCCUCGGUGCCGACGUCAUAGAGGUGGGCAUGCCGUUCUCCGACCCCUACGCCGACGGCCCCGUCAUCCAGGCGUCCGCUGCGCGGGCGCUCUCGGCCGGCGUGACAACGGACGCCGUGAUGUCGAUGCUGAAGGAGGUGACGCCGGAGCUGUCCUGCCCGGUGGUCAUCUUCUCUUACUUCAACCCAAUCGCGCGGCGGGGAACGGGGAGCUUCACCGCUGCAGCCAGAGAGGCCGGUGUACGAGGUCUUAUAGUACCUGAUCUUCCUUAUAUCGAGACAGGUGUUCUUAGGAAUGAAGCCAUAAAGAACGACAUCGAGCUGGUGCUGCUCACAACACCAUCUACAAAGGCAGACAUGAUGAAUGAGAUCACAAUAGCUUCCGAAGGGUUUGUUUACCUUGUAAGUAUCAACGGAGUUACAGGAGCCCGCCCAGAUGUGAACCCGCGGGUGAAGGAUCUUCUCAAGGAGAUUAAGCAGGUCACUAACAAAGCAGUGGCUGUUGGGUUUGGCAUAUCGACCCCUGACCAUAUUAGACAGGUUGCACAAUGGGGUGCAGAUGGAGUGAUAAUCGGUAGCGCGAUGGUAAAGCAGUUGGGUGAAGCUGAUUCUCCGAGAGAAGGUUUAAAGAGGUUGGAAGUAUACGCCAGGAGCCUGAAGGAUGCACUCAGCAGCGGGUCCACCAUUGGGGCGAGUUGGGGCGACCGCCUCAGUUCUUCAACGUCAUGGCAGGGUACUUCCCCUGUCUAUUGA
rnacentral:rRNA from 1 species